UGUAUUGUGGCUCAGUGGUAGAGCAUUUGCCUAGCAUGCAAGGCCCUGGGUUCGAUCCUUAGCACCACAA
rnacentral:tRNA from 1 species